rnacentral:rRNA from 1 species
AAUGGGCGAAAGCCUGAUGCAGCAACGCCGCGUGAGUGAUGAAGGCUUUCGAGUCGUAAAGCUCUUUGAUCAGGGAUGAUAAUGACAGUACCUGAAAAACAAGCCACGGCUAACUACGUGCCAGCAGCCGCGGUAAUACGUAGGUGGCGAGCGUUGUCCGGAAUUACUGGGCGUAAAGGAUGCGUAGGUGGAUAAUUAAGUGGGAUGUGAAAUCCCCGGGCUCAACCCGGGAACUGCAUACCAAACUGGUUAUCUAGAGUGCAGGAGAGGAAAGUAGAAUUCAUAGUGUAGCGGUGAAAUGCGUAGAUAUUAUGAGGAAUACCAGUGGCGAAGGCGACUUUCUGGACUGUAACUGACACUGAGGCAUGAAAGCGUGGGUAGCAAA